GCAGCAGCCACGGGAAUACGAAGGGGGCUAGCGUUGUUCGGAAUUACUGGGCGUAAAGCGCACGUAGGCGGAUAUUUAAGUCAGGGGUGAAAUGCCAAGGCUCAACCUUGGAACUGCCUUUGAUACUGAAUGUCUUGAGUCCGGGAGAGGUGAGUGGAACUGCGAGUGUAGAGGUGAAAUUCGUAGAUAUUCGCAAGAACACCAGUGGCGAAGGCGGCUCACCGGCCCGGAACUGACGCUGAGACGCGAAAGCGUGGGGAGCAAACAGGAUUAGAUACCCCAGUAGUCCCUGUCUCUUAUAC
rnacentral:rRNA from 1 species